rnacentral:rRNA from 1 species
GACGAACGCUGGCGGCGUGCUUAACACAUGCAAGUCGAACGGAAAGGCUCCAGCUUGCUGGAGUACUCGAGUGGCGAACGGGUGAGUAACACGUGGGUAAUCUGCCCUGCACUCUGGGAUAAGCCUGGGAAACUGGGUCUAAUACUGGAUAUGACCUUUCUCCUUAUGGGGUUUGGUGGAAAGUUUUUCGGUGUAGGAUGAGCCCGCGGCCUAUCAGCUUGUUGGUGGGGUGAUGGCCUACCAAGGCGACGACGGGUAGCCGGCCUGAGAGGGUGAUCGGCCACAUUGGGACUGAGAUACGGCCCAGACUCCUACGGGAGGCAGCAGUGGGGAAUAUUGCACAAUGGGCGGAAGCCUGAUGCAGCGACGCCGCGUGAGGGAUGACGGCCUUCGGGUUGUAAAACUCUUUCAGCAGGGACGAAGCGUAAGUGACGGUACCUGCAGAAGAAGCACCGGCUAACUAUGUG